GUCGGUAGCUCAGCUGGUAGAGCAGCGGACUUUUAAUCCGUUGGUCGUGGGUUCGAACCCCGCCCGG
rnacentral:tRNA from 1 species